rnacentral:tRNA from 1 species
GCAGUCGUGGCCGAGUGGUUAAGGCGAUGGACAAGAAAUCCAUUGGGGUCUCCCCGCAAGGUUCGAAUCUGGCGGACUGCA